rnacentral:pre_miRNA from 1 species
UUUCUACUCCCUCCGUUCGGAAUUACUUGUCACCAAAAUGGAUGUAUCUAGAACUAAAAUACAUCUAGAUACAUCCAUUUCAAUGACAAGUAUUUCCGAACAGAGGGAGUAUAAG